UUACAUCAGCAGUCAUCCCCGCGACAGAGUGUGGGCGGCGCCGUUACCCCAAAGCCAGGCGCCCGCAGGACAUCCUCCAAAACCUGGUGGCUAAUACACGAACGCCAAGGUCGACCGCGCCCAUCCCGCCGGCGGUUCACCCCAGCCCGACGAGGGCGGUGGAUUGCGCCCAGCCGCUAGUGAAGACCAGCGCCCGGCAAACGGCAGUGUGUGCAGGUUGACCCAGGCUGGCCCAGCAUAUCGGGCAGUCUCGCUGGCAGAGUUCGGCGACCCCCACCGGGGCCGCACGGCAUCGCUUGGUCGCACGGAACUUCUGACCUAUCAGCCUGGACUGUGGUGUCGUGGACCCCAGUGGCUCUGACGGGUGACGGAGAAUCAGGGUUCGAUUCCGGAGAGGGAGCCUGAGAGACGGCUACCACUACCAAGGUGGGCAGYAGGCGCGCAAAUUGCCCAAUGCAGACACCUUCCCCCAGCGAGGCAGCGACGAACGGCAGCGCUUSCGCCUGUCYUCUGUGACCAGCGGAACCCGGAAUGGAUGCGAUCCAAACACAGCGAUGAGUAUCAACUGGAGGGCAAGUCUGGUGCCAGCAGCUGCGGUAAUUCCAGCUCCAAGGGCGUAUACUAACAUUGCUGCUGUUAAAACACUUGUAGUCGGCCGCUGGGCGCGGGYCCACCGGGGGCCGUCCCCGUGCGUGCGUGUGCUGCGGUUGGUGCCUCCGUCGCCGGAUCCGUCCGUGCGCSGUCGCGCCGCCCUCACCGCCGUGCGUGGGGCGGGUCUCAAMCCCCGGCGGUAUGUCCCCGUGCCCGUCMCUCCUCCGAGUCGAUGGCGRGAGCCGCUCCUGCUCCAAGUCCCCUUCAGURGGGGCCACGGCGGUCUAUGCACYCCACGSCUGCCAGGACGCAGCAGGGAGCCCGGCCUUCGCGCCGGGCAGAGAUCCCYGGUCCCACCACCGGAGCCCGCCGUCACUGCCACCGUGGAAADCUCAGUGUGCUCAAGGCGUCCAUCACCGUUAGGCUGGAUGCUCCUCCAUKGAAUGUCAAAGYAUCGACCGAAGUGUGGCCUGUGGAGUUGUGCUGGCCUUGGYGUCCAUUGCGGAGAACUSUGGCUCCCGCUYCCCCUCGGCCCCCCURCCGUGCGCGCGGCGGCGSCGGCGCGUGUCGGGCGGUCUGGGUGCGGUGUGCGUGCGUCGGCCUCAGGCUGCCGCGCCGCCCCAUCCACCCCCGUGCGUGCCACCCCGCCCUGCGUCCCGCGGGGCCCGCGGGCGGCUGCGUGCGCCGAUCGCCCCUGACGGGGCUGCUCAGGGUGAAAGACACGGCAUCGCCAGAGGUGAAAUUAUUAGACCGUUGCAAGACCAACGGCAGCGAAGGCGUUCUGCAAGGGCACGUCCGUCGAUCAAGAAUGUGAGUGUGGGGAGCGAAGAUGAUCAGACACCGUCGUAGUCCACGACCGUCAACCAUGCCAGCCCGGUGACAGUGCUGCAAGUCCAACCUACAGCAUUGGCGCCAUGCCCCCUGCAUCGAGAAAUCCAAGCCUUUGGGUUCAGGGGGGAGUACCGUCGCAAGGCUGAAACUUAAAGGAAUUGACGGAAUGGCACCACAAGGCGUGGGUUAUGCGGCUUAAUUUGACUCAACACGGGGAACGUUACCAGGUCAGGACGUCGCCAGGAUGGACAGACUGAGAGCUCUUUCUUGAUCCGAUGGAUGGUGGUGCAUGGCCGCUCCUGAUUGGUGGAGUGAUUUGUCUGGUUGAUUCCGAUAACGAGUGAGACAUCUGCCUCCCAGUAAGCCUGGGCCUCGCAUCUGUAGGGCCGGGGCUCGCGUGUGCCACCGUCGCCGCUGGGUCACACACACCCUCCCGUUCCCCCCGGGGCGCGGGGGCGGGCGUGUGUCGGUCCGGUCGCGGGGGGAUGUGCCGCCGAGUYGAAACCCCGCCCGAGAGCGCCCCAGUUCCGUCGCUUCUCUGAGGUGCUGUGUACGCUGCCAAGUGCACGCAUGCUAGAGCCAACAGCAGGUCUGUGAUGCUCCCAGAUGUCCUGGGCCGCACGCGCAACACAUUGACACAGUGAAGGUGCCGUACCGAACCCCUCCCCGCCGUCACCGGCGCGGGACCCUGCCCGGACGUGGGUGGGCAACCAUGCGAGACUGUGCUGUGCUGGGGAUAGAUGAUUGCAACUGUCUGCCUUGAACGCGGAAUGCCUAGUAGGCGUGGGUCAUCAGCCCACACCGAUUGUGUCCCUGCC
rnacentral:rRNA from 1 species